rnacentral:rRNA from 1 species
UACGUAGGGUGCGAGCGUUGUCCGGAAUUAUUGGGCGUAAAGGGCUCGUAGGCGGUUUGUCGCGUCGGGAGUGAAAACCCAGGGCUUAACCCUGGGCUGGCUUCCGAUACGGGCAGACUAGAGGUAUGCAGGGGAGAACGGAAUUCCUGGUGUAGCGGUGAAAUGCGCAGAUAUCAGGAGGAACACCUGCGGCGAAGGCGGGUUGCUGGGCUGAUACUGACGCUGAGGCGCGAAAGCCAGGGGAGCGAACGGG